rnacentral:rRNA from 1 species
GACGAACGCUGGCGGCGUGCCUAAUACAUGCAAGUCGAACGGAGCGGCGGACGGGUGAGUAAUGCCUAGGAAUCUGCCUGGUAGUGGGGGAUAACGUCCGGAAACGGGCGCUAAUACCGCAUACUAUCAGAUGAGCCUAGGUCGGUUUAGCGGGUUGGUGGGGUAAAGGCCUACCAAGGCGACGAUCCGUAACUGGUCUGAGAGGAUGAUCAGUCACUCGGGAACUGAGACAAGGUCCAGAAUCGUACGUGAGGCAGCAGUGGGGAAUAUUGGGCAAGGGGCGAAAGCCAGAUCCAGCCAUGCCGCGUGUGUGAGGAAGGUCUUCGGAUUGUAAAGCACUUUAAGUUGGGAGGCGUUACCAACAGAAUAAGCACCGGCUAACUUCGUGCCAGCAGCCGCGGUAAUUC